rnacentral:lncRNA from 1 species
GGAGCCGAUGAGAGGAGGAAGAAGACUCCCUUCGGGAGUUCUUCUCCUUUGUUUUUCUUUUUUUUGUUUUUGUUUGGGCUUUGGCUGAUUCUGGGCUGGGAUUCAUUACAUGGGCCGGCCAUGACAGAUGCAAAAUGGGAGAAGACAUGCAUCCCGCCACAAUACUCUGUGUAAAACCUCUUCCAAACCAAACCAACGACCAAGUCGGUCCCAAAUCCCAAUGCCCUCUUCUUGCACCCACCCAACUCUCUCUCUCUCUUUCUCUCCAACCCAGAGGC